rnacentral:rRNA from 1 species
GAUGAACGCUGGCGGCGUGCCUAAUACAUGCAAGUCGAGCGAACAGACGAGGAGCUUGCUCCUCUGACGUUAGCGGCGGACGGGUGAGUAACACGUGGAUAACCUACCUAUAAGACUGGGAUAACUUCGGGAAACCGGAGCUAAUACCGGAUAAUAUAUUGAACCGCAUGGUUCAAUAGUGAAAGACGGUUUUGCUGUCACUUAUAGAUGGAUCCGCGCCGCAUUAGCUAGUUGGUAAGGUAACGGCUUACCAAGGCAACGAUGCGUAGCCGACCUGAGAGGCUGAUCGGCCACACUGGAACUGAGACACGGUCCUGACUCCUACGGUAGGCAGCAGUAGGGAAUCUUACGCAAUGGGCGAAAGCCUGACGGAGCAACGCCGCGUGAGUGAUGAAGGUCUUCGGAUCGGAAAACUCUGUUAUUAGGGAAGAACAAAUGUGUAAGUAACUAUGCACGUCUUGACGGUACCUAAUCAGAAAGCCACGGCUAACUACGUG